GGGAUAAGAAAAUUUUAUUAAUUUGGCGGAAAACACAAUUUUAUGGUUUUGAAGGAAAAACGUAAUUUUAUAGUUUUGACGGAAAAAUAUAAUUCUUUAAUUUUGGCAAAAAAACAUAAUUUUACAGUUUUGAUGAGAAAAUAUGAUUUUACGGAUUUGACGGCAAAACAAUUUCUUUAGCGAGAAAAUGUAGUUUUACGUUUUUGGCGAAAAAUGUAGUUUUACAGUUUUAACGGGAAAAUAUUAUUUUACAGAUUUGACGGAAAACAUAGGUUAAUAGUUUUAAAACAUAAUUUCAAUGUUUUGGAGAGAAAAAACUAUUAAUUAAUAGUUAAAAUUAUAAUAAAUACUAUUGGACGUUCAUGGAUCUGUGUUUAUGACAUUGUCUCUGGUCUUCGGAAAUAUUUUGGACGAUUGCCCAUUCUCAACCACAUUAAUGCUCAAAAUUAAAAUGGUCAAUCUGGACAAAGCUCAACUGCGCGCUAAAUGAACCAUUUAACAAAUCGCCAAUCUUGUCGCCAUGGAGCCGUCAAACCCUGUGUAAAAUCAGAUUUAGUGAAAGAAUAAUGUGUAUAUCAUGUGUAAGUACGUAUUUAUCAAAAGAGUUUUAUGUUAUUCACGAAACUAUCUUAAAAAUUUGUGAUAGAAAAUAACACUUUGGUAACACAAUAUAAACUAUUU
rnacentral:lncRNA from 1 species